AAAGUGACUUCACGCUGUUGCCAGAAUUAUAACAAAGAUCUUAACUGUGGUUACCUCUUCAGUUAUAAAACCUAUGGUAACUCCUCAGAGCCUGCAAGAUAUUUUCCAAACAUACAAUGGCUUUUUCAAUCUGGUCCUAGCUUACCUUUCUGAGUUUAUCUCUAGCCAUUUCCAUCUUCCAUUUUAUAUUCUAGUCAUACCGGAUUACUCAUCAUUCCCCCAAAUCAGCAUGCACUCCCCAUUUACAUCCCUAUGCUAAAGCUAUUCUUUUUUUUCUGAAAUACUUUUCCGCACUAUUCCUGGUCAAUGUCCAACCCAAGUGCUUCCUCCUCUUUUUAUAUUUCUCUAAUUCCUCCAUUUUGGGCACUUUAGUUGUUCUGUGUUUCUAUUAGUGAAAUAUAUUCCUUUAUUAGGGACUUUGUAACAUGGUAAUAUACUAAUUCAUUUUUGUGCCUAUAUUUUCAGAGGGUAGCAAGCAUAUGGAAGACAGCAAUAAAUCGAGUCUUGCAAUGGUACUCUGUAUUCCAAAAGUCUCUGAAGAGAGUGCCCUCCUUAACCUUCUUAAUCCCCUGAAAAGUCAAGUCCAGCAUGGCUGCAGAUCAGAUCUCACUGGACAAAAAUAAGUUCCAGAGGGAAAGACAGUAGCCCUAAAGGAGGAGACUCAGUAGAACCAGCGCCCAGCCAGAUGAACUGUCUCAACUAAGCCCCAACCAGGCCAACUGAUUCCUAACUCUUCUGCAGACAAGGGAUGGAAUGGAUCCCAUCGCACCAACCCAGUAGAGAGAGGCCAGCCUAGAUCUGUUGAGCCCAGCCACCAUGAAGAGGAAUGAGCUACACUGGUGCUUUUUGGUAUGUCCUACUGAUUUUGUUGUUGUUUGAUACAUAGUAAUGUUAUGACUUAACAGUACUAAAUUAUUUCC